rnacentral:misc_RNA from 1 species
GACGAACCGUGCGAACGUUGUUCGGAAUCACUGGGCUUAAAGGGCGCGUAGGCGGGCUGGUCAGUCAGAGGUGAAAGCCCACGGCUCAACCGUGGAAGUGCCCCUGAUACUGCUGGUCUCGAGGGAGGUAGGGGCGUGCGGAACUUCCGGUGGAGCGGUGAAAUGCGUAGAUAUCGGAAGGAACACCGGUGGCGAAAGCGGCGCGCUGGACCUCUUCUGACGCUGAGGCGCGAAAGCCAGGGGAGCAAACGGG